AUGGACGUUGAUAAGAUCCUUCCAUCUAGCAGCACCUUAGGAUGGCAUAGAGUUGAAGUGAAGGGCGAGGUUCAAACGAGGAAAGGCUUAUGGUGGAUACCUAGGCACCCAGAGACGAGGAAGGGCGUACUAAGCGACGAAAUGCUUCGGGGAGUUGCAAAGAAUCAAAGAUCCGAGGAUUCCCGAAUAGGUCAACCUUUCGAACUGCUGCUGAAUUCACGAGCAGGCAAGAGACAACCUGGCGAACUGAAACAUCUUAGUAGCCAGAGGAAAAGAAAGCAAAAGCGAUUCCCGUAG